UUGGGUUGUAAACCCCUUUUCUCAGGGAAGAAGCAAGUGACGGUACCUGAGGAAUCAGCCUCGGCUAACUCCGUGCCAGCAGCCGCGGUAAUACGGAGGAGGCAAGCGUUAUCCGGAAUGAUUGGGCGUAAAGCGUUCGUAGGUGGCAACUCAAGUCUGCUGUCAAAGACCGGAGCUCAACUCCGGAAAGGCAGUGGAAACUGGGUAGCUGGAGUGCGGUAGGGGCAGAGGGAAUUCCCGGUGUAGCGGUGAAAUGCGUAGAGAUCGGGAAGAACACCGGUGGCGAAAGCGCUCUGCUGGGCCGCAACUGACACUGAGGGACGAAAGCUAGGGGAGCGAAUGGGAUUAGAUACCCCAGUAGUCCUAGCUGUAAACGAUGGAAACUAGGUGUUGCCUGUAUCGACCCAGGCAGUGCCGUAGCUAACGCGUUAAGUUUCCCGCCUGGGGAGUACGCACGCAAGUGUGAAACUCAAAGGAAUUGACGGGGGCCCGCACAAGCGGUGGAGUAUGUGGUUUAAUUCGAUGCAACGCGAAGAACCUUACCAGGGCUUGACAUGUCCGGAACUCUGGGGAAACUCAGAGGUGCCUUCGGGAGCCGGAACACAGGUGGUGCAUGGCUGUCGUCAGCUCGUGUCGUGAGAUGUUGGGUUAAGUCCCGCAACGAGCGCAACCCUCGUUCUUAGUUGCCAGCAUUAAGUUGGGCACUCUAGGAAGACUGCCGGUGACAAACCGGAGGAAGGUGGGGAUGACGUCAAGUCAUCAUGCCCCAUACGUCCUGGGCUACACACGUACUACAAUGGUAAGGACAAAGGGCAGCCACUUCGCGAGGAGGAGCUAAUCCCGGAAACCUUGCCUCAGUUCAGAUUGCAGGCUGCAACUCGCCUGCAUGAAGGAGGAAUCGCUAGUAAUCGCAGGUCAGCAUACUGCGGUGAAUCCGUUCCCGGGCCUUGUACACACCGCCCGUCACACCAUGGAAGUUAGCCAUGCCCGAAGUCAUUACUC
rnacentral:rRNA from 2 species